rnacentral:rRNA from 1 species
UGGCCGCGGUAUUUUGACUGUGCUAAGGUAGCAUAAUAAUUAGGUUAUUUAUUGUGAUCUUGAAUGAAGGGUUAGACGUAGGAGAUUCUUUCUUAUUAUUAUACUUGAAUUUAAAAAACUAGUAAAAAUGCUGGUUUUAUUUAUUAAACGAGAAGACCCUAUUAAGUUUAAUAUAUUUUAUUUUGCUUUUUAGAUUUAACUAGAUUAAUUUAUAUUUUACUGGGGCGGUUAAUUAUAAGAUUACAUUAUAAAUAUUUUAUUAUAUAAAAUUAUUGAUCCAUUAUUAAUGAUUAUUAGAUUAAAUUACUAUAGGGAUAACAGCAUAAUUGUGUUGAAGAGUUCUUAUUGAUAACACAGUUUAUGACCUCGAUGUUGAAUCAAAAAUUUCUUAAAGGUGUAGAUGUUUUUUUAGAUAGUCUGUUCGACUAUUGAUAUUUUACG